rnacentral:rRNA from 1 species
CGAACGCUGGCGGCAGGCUUAGCACAUGCAAGUCGAACGCGCCCUUCGGGGCGAGUGGCAGACGGGUGAGUAACGCGUGGGAACCUACCUUUCGGUUCGGAAUAACCCAGGGAAACUUGGGCUAAUACCGGAUGCGCCCUUUGGGGGAAAGAUUUAUCGCCGAAAGAUGGGCCCGCGUCGGAUUAGCUAGUUGGUGGGGUAAUGGCCUACCAAGGCGACGAUCCGUAGCUGGUCUGAGAGGAUGAUCAGCCACACUGGGACUGAGACACGGCCCAGACUCCUACGGGAGGCAGCAGUGGGGAAUAUUGGACAAUGGGGGCAACCCUGAUCCAGCCAUGCCGCGUGAGUGAUGAAGGCCUUAGGGUUGUAAAGCUCUUUCACCGGUGAAGAUAAUGACGUAACCGAGAA